GACGAAGGGGGCUAGCGUUGUUCGGAAUUACUGGGCGUAAAGCGAGUGUAGGUGGUUGUCCAAGUUGGAUGUGAAAGCCUUGAGCUCAACUCAAGAAAUGCAUUCAGGACUGGGCGGCUAGAGGACCGGAGAGGAUAGUGGAAUUCCCAGUGUAGUGGUGAAAUACGUAGAGAUUGGGAAGAACACCAGUGGCGAAGGCGGCUAACUGGUCCAGAUCUGACGCUGAGGUGCGAAAGCGUGGGGAGCAAACAGG
rnacentral:rRNA from 1 species